AUCUAAUUUAAAUUAAAA
rnacentral:sRNA from 1 species